CCAGACUCCUACGGGAGGCAGCAGUGGGGAAUAUUGCACAAUGGGCGAAAGCCUGAUGCAGCGACGCCGCGUGAAGGAUGAAGUAUUUCCGUAUGUAAACUUCUAUCAGCAGGGAGGAAAAUGACGGUACCUGACUAAGAAGCCCCGGCUAACUACGUGCCAGCAGCCGCGGUAAUACGUAGGGGGCAAGCGUUAUCCGGAUUUACUGGGUGUAAAGGGAGCGUAGACGGCAUGGCAAGUCAGAUGUGAAAGCCCGGGGCUCAACCCCGGGACUGCAUUUGAAGCUGUCAGGCUGGAGUGCAGGAGAGGUAAGUGGAAUUCCUAGUGUAGCGGUGAAAUGCGUAGAUAUUAGGAGGAACACCAGUGGCGAAGGCGGCUUACUGGACUGUAACUGACGUUGAGGCUCGAAAGCGUGGGGAGCAAACAGGAUUAGAUACCCGCGUACC
rnacentral:rRNA from 1 species